rnacentral:rRNA from 1 species
CCUACGGGAGGCAGCAGUUAGGAAUCUUCGUCAAUGGGCGAAAGCCUGAACGAGCGACGCCGCUUGAGGGACGAAGCCCUUCGGGGUGUAAACCUCUGAACAGGGGACGAUGAUGACGGUACCCUGCUAAUAGCACCGGCUAACUCCGUGCCAGCAGCCGCGGUAAUACGGAGGGUGCGAGCGUUACCCGGAUUUACUGGGCGUAAAGGGCGUGUAGGCGGUUUUCUAAGUCCGGGGCUAAAGACCAGGGCUCAACCCUGGGUUUGCCUUGGAGACUGGAAAGCUCGACGGCUGGAGGGGGCAGCGGAAUUUCCGGAGUAGCGGUGAAAUGCGCAGAUACCGGAAGGAACGCCAAUAGCGAAGGCAGCUGCCUGGACAGUACGUGACGCUGAGGCGCGAAAGCGUGGGGAGCAAACCGGAUUAGAUACCCUUGUAGUC